CUAGUUGGUAAGGUAACGGCUUACCAAGGCAACGAUGCAUAGCCGACCUGAGAGGGUGAUCGGCCACACUGGAACUGAGACACGGUCCAGACUCCUACGGGAGGCAGCAGUAGGGAAUCUUCCGCAAUGGGCGAAAGCCUGACGGAGCAACGCCGCGUGAGUGAUGAAGGUCUUCGGAUCGUAAAACUCUGUUAUUAGGGAAGAACAUAUGUGUAAGUAACUGU
rnacentral:rRNA from 1 species